GAUCAUGGCUCAGAUUGAACGCUGGCGGCAUGCCUUACACAUGCAAGUCGAACGGUAACAGGUCUUCGGAUGCUGACGAGUGGCGAACGGGUGAGUAAUACAUCGGAACGUGCCCGAUCGUGGGGGAUAACGAGGCGAAAGCUUUGCUAAUACCGCAUACGAUCUACGGAUGAAAGCGGGGGAUCUUCGGACCUCGCGCGGACGGAGCGGCCGAUGGCAGAUUAGGUAGUUGGUGGGAA
rnacentral:rRNA from 1 species